AGUUUGAUCCUGGCUCAGGACGAACGCUGGCGGCGUGCCUAAUACAUGCAAGUCGAGCGAAUUUUUAGGAGCUUGCUCCUAAAGGUUAGCGGCGGACGGGUGAGUAACACGUGGGCAACCUGCCCUGUAGACUGGGAUAACAUCGAGAAAUCGGUGCUAAUACCGGAUAAUUUCUGAGACCUCAUGGUCUUAGAGUAAAAGAUGGCUUCGGCUAUCACUACGGGAUGGGCCCGCGGCGCAUUAGCUAGUUGGUAAGGUAAUGGCUUACCAAGGCGACGAUGCGUAGCCGACCUGAGAGGGUGAUCGGCCACACUGGGACUGAGACACGGCCCAGACUCCUACGGGAGGCAGCAGUAGGGAAUCUUCCGCAAUGGACGAAAGUCUGACGGAGCAACGCCGCGUGAGUGAUGAAGGAUUUCGGUUCGUAAAGCUCUGUUGUUAGGGAAGAACAAGUGCCGUUCAAAUAGGGCGGCACCUUGACGGUACCUAACCAGAAAGCCACGGCUAACUACGUGCCAGCAGCCGCGGUAAUACGUAGGUGGCAAGCGUUGUCCGGAAUUAUUGGGCGUAAAGCGCGCGCAGGCGGUCUUUUAAGUCUGAUGUGAAAGCCCACGGCUCAACCGUGGAGGGUCAUUGGAAACUGGGAGACUUGAGUACAGAAGAGGAGAGUGGAAUUCCACGUGUAGCGGUGAAAUGCGUAGAUAUGUGGAGGAACACCAGUGGCGAAGGCGACUCUCUGGUCUGUAACUGACGCUGAGGCGCGAAAGCGUGGGGAGCAAACAGGAUUAGAUACCCUGGUAGUCCACGCCGUAAACGAUGAGUGCUAGGUGUUAGGGGUUUCGAUGCCCUUAGUGCCGAAGUUAACACAUUAAGCACUCCGCCUGGGGAGUACGACCGCAAGGUUGAAACUCAAAUGAAUUGACGGGGGC
rnacentral:rRNA from 1 species